rnacentral:rRNA from 1 species
UACGGAGGGGGCUAGCGUUGUUCGGAAUUACUGGGCGUAAAGCGCGCGUAGGCGGACCUGCAAGUCGGGGGUGAAAGCCCGAGGCUCAACCUCGGAACUGCCUUCGAUACUGCGGCCUCGAGUCCGGGAGAGGUGAGUGGAAUUCCUAGUGUAGAGGUGAAAUUCGUAGAUAUUAGGAAGAACACCAGUGGCGAAGGCGGCUCACUGGCCCGGUACUGACGCUGAGGCGCGAAAGCGUGGGGAGCAAACAGG